rnacentral:rRNA from 1 species
GACGAACGCUGGCGGCGUGCUUAACACAUGCAAGUCGAACGGAAAGGCCUGCUUUCCCUUGUGGAUUGCGGGUACUCGAGUGGCGAACGGAUGAGUAACACGUGAGUGAUCUGCCCCCAACUUGGGUAUAAGCCUGGGAAACUGGGUCUAAUUCCCGAUAGGACUGCAGGGUGGUGCCUGUGGUGGAAAACGAUUUUCUAGUGGUUGGGGAUGAGCUCGCGGCCUAUCAGCUUGUUGGUGGGGUAAUGGCCUACCAAGGCGGCGACGGGUAGCCGGCCUGAGAGGGUGGACGGCCACAUUGGGACUGAGAUACGGCCCAGACUCCUACGGGAGGCAGCAGUGGGGAAUAUUGCACAAUGGGCGGAAGCCUGAUGCAGCGACGCCGCGUGGGGGAUGACGGCCUUCGGGUUGUAAACUCCUUUCGACCGCGAGGAAGCCACCUGGUUGGAAGGGUGGUGACGGUAGUGGUAGAAGAAGCACCGGCUAACUACGUG